GGCCUGGGCGGGCGGUCUGCCGCAAGGUAUGUACUGUCUGCCUGGGUCUUACUUCUUGGUGAGCCGGCAUGCUCUUCACUGGGUGUGUCGGGGAACCAGGACUUUUACCUUGAGAAAAUUAGAGUGUUCAAAGCAGGCCUAUGCCCGAAUACAUUAGCAUGGAAUAAUAAAAUAGGACUUUGGUUCUAUUUUGUUGGUUUAAGGACCAAUGUC
rnacentral:rRNA from 1 species